rnacentral:rRNA from 1 species
UACGGGGGGUGCGAGCGUUGUCCGGAAUCACUGGGCGUAAAGGGCGCGUAGGUGGUUUGAUAAGGGUGUGGUGAAAGCCCGGGGCUCAACCCCGGGUCUGCCGUGCCGACUGUUAAACUCGAGGGCUGUAGAGGCAGACGGAAUUCCGGGUGUAGCGGUGAAAUGCGUUGAUAUCGAAAGGAACGCCGGUGGCGAAAGCGGUCCGCUGGGUCCCCACUGACGCUGAGGCGCGAAAGCCAGGGGAGCAAACGGG